AUUGAACGCUGGCGGCAUGCCUUACACGCGCAAGUCGAACGGCAGCGCGGGAGCAAUCCUGGCGGCGAGUGGCGAACGGGUGAGUAAUACAUCGGAACGUGCCCAAUCGUGGGGGAUAACGCAGCGAAAGCUGUGCUAAUACCGCAUACGAUCUACGGAUGAAAGCAGGGGAUCGCAAGACCUUGCGCGAAUGGAGCGGC
rnacentral:rRNA from 1 species